GAAUUGCUCUGAACCUCUGAGCCAUCUCUCCAGCCCUUGAUUGUGUUUCUAGCCCUUUACAUGUUCUGAAUAUUAAUCCUCUAUGAGAUGUGUAGUUGGCAAAGAUCCUCUUCUGGCCUUUGGGUUUCCUUGGUUGAUGGCUUCCUCUGCAGACAGAAGCGUUUACAUUUUAUAAGGUCCCAUUUGUCACAUGAUGGCCUUAGUUCCAGGCAAAUGGAAGCCUCCUCAGAAACCCCUUCCCUUAUUCAUAUCCUGUGUUUUCUUUUACUAGUUUCUUCUACAAUCCAGGGUUCACAGUGAGGUCUUUGACCCACUUGGAGUUGGUUUUGUUUUUUGCGCGGGGGUGGGGGGGCAGCGUUGGGGACAGGAUGACAGAUGUUGGCAUCAUUUCAUUUUCUACCUGUGGACACCAGCUUUCCCAGUGCUGUUUGCUGAAGGAACACACCCUCCCUACCCAGCUAAGCACUCCCUGCUGCAUGGUGUUCACCCAUGCCCUGAGCUCUGGGGCUACAAAUGAGGGGCUCAAGACUCAGAGAGGUCAUGGGCCUUGCACUGGUAUUUUGUCAAGAAUGGGAGAGCCAGUCUACAAUGAAUGGUCAGAAAAGAGAGCUUGGUACAGAAACACAAGGAGUGAGCACAAAAGGUUCCCUUGAGACCUAGUAAGGAUGGCUGACACACACGGAAUGGUUAAUGUGCUGGCCCCGACAGGAUCAUCUUGAUUUCACAAUGUGAUCUCGUGAGGUAGGUGGUGGAAAGAUGAUGGUCCAUUUGCCUGGUGACUGGUCAUUAAGCCAAUUGAAUUCACCAAUCUUGUUUGUGUGGGAGGAUGAGGGCUGUGGAAAUCUAAGGAAGUGCCCCACUCCUGAUCAUUACCGAAGAAUGGAGAAUUUGAUGUCUUGCAACAUCAAAGGAGGUAAAUUAGGCCAACCAGAUAGUGUAUAAAAAGCAAAUCCUUCCUCCCAGCUCCAGUAAAGCAACACAGCCCUUGGGCCCCUUGAUCUCAACUGCACAUGAGAUCCAAGCCCAACAGAGCCUGCGUAGCAACAUAGCCAUGACAUUGGAAGGCACUAAACUUACAGUAAUUGUCAUGAUGGUCAAAUGGUUGCCUGAAGGCUCAUGCUUGCCUGGUCUUAAGUUUCUGUCUCUAGUGAUGCACAGUAGGCACACACAGUAGGUAUCUGUAGGUAAAUAUCUGUCUCCCAACAAAACUGAUGUGAAUAAAUCUAGCUAACCUGCCCCCCAGAGAUGGUGCCUUGUUCCGUUUCUCACCCUCCGUACCAGGCUCUGGAUGAGCGGAGCUGACAAUGCCCAGCUCUUCUUGGAGCUCAGAGCCAUUGUUUCUUGCAGGAGACGACACACUGGGAUGCCUGCUCUGUGAUUUGUGGAGACUGGCUCCGGUUUAAGGAGAGAAUGCUGUGAUUUAUCUUGCUAAGGCCUCCUUUUCUUCUCCCGAUGAUGAUGGAUGCCCACAGCCACAUCAGAAGACUUCAGGAGACACACGGCACAGAGCUAUGGCAGGUAAUGCCUGACACCCAGCUUAGGAAGGGGGAGGUGGCAUGUCCACUAUGAUCUCAGUGUAACGAAGAGAUGCCAGAGAUGAAGGCGGGGUGAGGAGCAGGGUAGCAUGGAGCAUCAUAGACUUGGGGGUGGAAAGCCUAGCCUUACCUCCACGUUCCUGUUGUUUGACAAGACAGGGUGUCAUGUAGCCCAGGCUGGCUUUGAACUUGCUACACAGCUGAAGCUGGUUUUGCGCAUCUGAUCAUCCUGCCCCCACUUCUCUAGUGCUGGGAUUACAGGUGCACACUGCCUUCUACAGCUCUAGCCCCAUCUUGUCACAUGACCUCUGAACCGAAUUCCCUUUGGUUCCUCCAACCUCUGGAAUCUUGCAGCGGUGCCCACACCAAAGACUUCUGAUGUUUAUAUUUGGACAGUAUGGUACCGGCCAUGCCUAUCGUUGGCCAGCAAAGCAGGUAAGCAUUCUAGGACUUCAUAAAAUGGGGCAAUCAUUUCUUUCAAAAACAUCAAGAGGCAAGAGUUGCCACAGUACUUCUCUACCACCUCACAAGAUCAUGUAACUUGCAAAGAACACAGAGGGGAUGCUGAGAGCUUUUCUGAAUAACCGCACCCCCACAGUGCCUCCACAGGCCAGAAAGAGCUCUGCUAGCACGUCUGUCCUUAGGUCCACUGGUCCUGGCUCUCCAGCUUACAUUUUGAAGAGUGUCACUCACUGAACUUGGAGCUCAUCACCCACUAGGCUAGCUGGCCGAUGAGCUUCAGGAGUUUUCCUGUUUCCAACCCUCAGCUCCAGCACUGGGAUUGCAAACAUGCAGCACCACACCCAGUUUGCUUUAAAAACAAAAACCAAGGGUACUGGAGACUUGAACCCAGGUCCUCAUGCUUGUGAGGCCGCCACUUCACAGGGCCACUGGGCCUUCUCCCAAGUCCCUGAAGUUCCUUUGAUAAAUAAAUAAAAAAAAAAAAAAAAAAAACAGAGGGCAGACACAGCCAGUUGUGAUUUGUGCAAGGUGAACAACACUGUCAGGACCUGAGCCCCAUGUACUCGACCUCACAGCCCAUGCCUAGUGUGGUUCACAACUUCCUGACAUAGAGAGGGCAAGGCUGCAGGGUGGGAAGCCAGCCUCACCGGCUUUCUCUUCAUUACUCUCAGGCAGAGACGGAUGAAAAUGUGAACUCUGCCCAUUAUCCCGCAACAUACUCUGUGCUAAUGACAGUGUUCUCCCUAGAGUCAUUAAUCCACUGUUGGG
rnacentral:lncRNA from 1 species